rnacentral:rRNA from 1 species
UACGAAGGGGGCUAGCGUUGCUCGGAAUCACUGGGCGUAAAGCGCACGUAGGCGGCUUUCUAAGUCAGGGGUGAAAUCCUGGAGCUCAACUCCAGAACUGCCUUUGAUACUGAAGAUCUUGAGUCCGGGAGAGGUGAGUGGAACUGCGAGUGUAGAGGUGAAAUUCGUAAAUAUUCGCAAGAACACCAGUGGCCGAAGGCGGCUCACUGGCCCGGUACUGACGCUGAGGCACGAAAGCGUGGGGAGCAAACUAGGAUUAGAAACCCGGAGUAACG